rnacentral:lncRNA from 10 species
AAGGUUUUUUCCCCAGCACUUUAAAUAGGUCAUGCUACUAUCCUGUCUUGGCCUAUAAGGUCUCUACUGAACAGUCUGCUGCCAAAUGUAUUGGAGCUCCAUUAUAGGUUAUGUGUUUCUUUUAUCUUUCUGCUUAUAUGAUUCUUUAUUGUUGGUUUUUUGGGAGUUUGAUUAUUAAAUGUCUUGAGGUAGUCUUAUUUGGGUUAAGUCUGCUUGGUGUUCUAUAACCUUCUUAAACUUGAAUAUUGAUAUUUGUCUCUAGGUUUGAGAAGUUAUCUGUUAUUAUCCCUUUGAAUAAACUUUCCACCCCUAUUUAUCUCUCUACCUCCUCUUUAAGGCCAAUAAUUCUUAGGUUUGCCCAUUUGAGGCUAUGUUUUAGACCUUGCAGGAUUGCUUCAUUCUUUUUUAGUUUUUAUUUUGUCUCAUCUGACUGCAUAUUUUCAAAUAGCCUAUCUUCAAGCUCAGUAAUUCUUUCUUCUAUUUGAUCAAUUCUGCUGUUAAGAUACUUAUACAUUCUUCAGGAUGUCAAUUGCAUUUUUCAAUUUUAGAAUUUCUGCCUUAUUCUUUUAAAUUAUUUUCAAUGUUAAACUUUUCUGAUAGGAUUCUGAACUCC